rnacentral:misc_RNA from 1 species
UGGCUCUCGCAUCGAUGAAGAACGCAGCGAAAUGCGAUACGUAAUGUGAAUUGCAGAAUUUUGUGAAUCAUCAAAUCUUUGAACGCAUAUUGCACUCUCUGGUAUUCCGGAGAGUACACCUGUUUCAGUAUCAAAAAUGUCAUCCAAAGUUUUGCUUUGUUUGUUUUUCAGACAAAGCUAAAUCUAAUGGGAUUUGGGCUUCGCAGGAUUUUUUAGUUCCGCUGGCCUUAAAUAUUUUUUAGCCAUUAAAAAGUCUUUGUGCGAUAAGGCGUAAUAGUUGGUACUUUUGGUUCCAUUCUUUCGCUGAAGCCUGUCUUUUUUUAAAACUCUGGCUCAACAAAUAUGGAAAAAUGAAAUAUGUAUUGUAUAUUUCAUUAUUGUUUAGAUCUGAAAUCAGGUGGGACUACCCGCUGA